rnacentral:lncRNA from 1 species
CGUGCUAGGACCUGACGGGCUAGAAUUUGAGGCCCGGUACAGCCCCUUCGUGCCGUGAUAGUCUGACCCAUAUUUUUUUCGUGCCAGACCGUACUUUGUGCUCCUACUUUCGGUCGUGGUCUUGCUGGUAAAAAAAAACGGUCCAUAUUCCCACCACUACACAUAACACAUGUACAUGUCCCAUUUCCAAUAACGAAGCAAGACAAAACCAUGACCAAUUCUUCACCACUACCACGAGCUCGGAGGUCUGUGGCUGUGCUCUGACCAGCACCGUCCGAUCGAGCACUGCACGAGCUUCGAUGCAUUUCCUUCUCGGUCCUCUGAACCAGGAACCACCACUACGAUCCUCCUCCCAUGCUUUGAGCAGGACCGUCCCUGCAAAAUAAAUAAGGCCACGUUUGGUUACAUGGGCUAAUUUUUAGUCUCUUCAAUUUUAGUGUCUAAUUUACUAAACACAAGGACUAAAUGAGGGACUAAACCAAUUUAGUCCCUAGUCCCUCAAUAGGUGGCUAAAAGGGACUAAACAAAAUUUUUUCCUCCAUUGGCCUUAUGCUCCCUACCUCACGUCCGCUCUCCAUUCCGCCGCCAACCUUCCAGCGUCGUCGUUUGAGCCGUGCUUCCCUGCACGUUCCUUCGCACGAAAGCUACUGUUGCAGUUUGGACGGACUUUUGCAUUUGAAAAACCUGACCGCUUGGAAGCAGUGGCGGAGGACAGAAAAAAAUUUAGGUAUGGCUCGGCGGACGGCGGAAGCUCGGCGGUCGGCGUGUCGCGCUCGCGGACGGAUCUGCUCGGCGAACGACGAAGCCGGAAGGCAUAGCAGCUCGGCGGACUGAGGGACAGGGACAGGCGGACAGCGGCUCGACCGGCGAACGGAGGCACAUGGGCAACGGCAUGUG